CUCGGCGGCCGUAGCGCGGUGGUCCCACCUGACCCCAUGCCGAACUCAGAAGUGAAACGCCGUAGCGCCGAUGGUAGUGUGGGGUCUCCCCAUGCGAGAGUAGGGAACUGCCAGGC
rnacentral:rRNA from 2 species